UGGGGUUUGGAAUGAUUUC
rnacentral:misc_RNA from 1 species